rnacentral:rRNA from 1 species
CCCUUCGGGGUACUCGAGCGGCGAACGGGUGAGUAACACGUGAGCAACCUGCCCCAGGCUCUGGGAUAACCCUCGGAAACGGGGGCUAAUACCGGAUAGGACCUUUCACCGCAUGGUGGGGGGUGGAAAGUUUUUUCGGCCUGGGAUGGGCUCGCGGCCUAUCAGCUUGUUGGUGGGGUGACGGCCUACCAAGGCGACGACGGGUAGCCGGCCUGAGAGGGCGACCGGCCACACCGGGACUGAGACACGGCCCAGACUCCUACGGGAGGCAGCAGUGGGGAAUAUUGCACAAUGGGCGAAAGCCUGAUGCAGCGACGCCGCGUGAGGGAUGACGGCCUUCGGGUUGUAAACCUCUUUCAGCUCCGACGAAGCGCAAGUGACGGUAGGAGCAGAAGAAGCGCCGGCCAACUACGUGCCAGCAGCCGCGGUAAGACGUAGGGCGCGAGCGUUGUCCGGAUUUAUUGGGCGUAAAGAGCUCGUAGGCGGCUUGUCGCGUCAUC